rnacentral:rRNA from 1 species
UACGUAGGGUGCGAGCGUUGUCCGGAAUUAUUGGGCGUAAAGGGCUCGUAGGCGGUUUGUCGCGUCGGGAGUGAAAACCCAGGGCUUAACCCUGGGCCUGCUUCCGAUACGGGCAGACUAGAGUCCGGCAGGGGAGACUGGAAUUCCUGGUGUAGCGGUGAAAUGCGCAGAUAUCAGGAGGAACACCGGUGGCGAAGGCGGGUCUCUGGGCCGGAACUGACGCUGAGGAGCGAAAGCGUGGGGAGCGAACAGG